rnacentral:rRNA from 1 species
ACGAACGCUGGCGGCGUGCUUAACACAUGCAAGUCGAACGGAAAGGCCCUGCUUUUGUGGGGUGCUCGAGUGGCGAACGGGUGAGUAACACGUGAGUAACCUGCCCUUGACUUUGGGAUAACUUCAGGAAACUGGGGCUAAUACCGGAUAGGAGCUCCUGCUGCAUGGUGGGGGUUGGAAAGUUUCGGCGGUUGGGGGUGGACUCGCGGCUUAUCAGCUUGUUGGUGGGGUAGUGGCUUACCAAGGCUUUGACGGGUAGCCGGCCUGAGAGGGUGACCGGCCACAUUGGGACUGAGAUACGGCCCAGACUCCUACGGGAGGCAGCAGUGGGGAAUAUUGCGCAAUGGGCGGAAGCCUGAUGCAGCAACGCCGCGUGCGGGAUGACGGCCUUCGGGUGGUAAACCGCUUUCGCCUGUGACGAAGCGUGAGUGACGGUAAUGGGUAAAGAAGCACCGGCUAACUACGU